rnacentral:rRNA from 1 species
UCAGGGAAGAAAUCUGACGGUACCUGAGGAAUAAGCCUCGGCUAACUCCGUGCCAGCAGCCGCGGUAAUACGGAGGAGGCAAGCGUUAUCCGGAAUUAUUGGGCGUAAAGCGUCCGCAGGUGGCUUUUCAAGUCUGCUGUCAAAGACCGGGGCUCAACCCCGGAAAGGCAGUGGAAACUGUGAGGCUAGAGUGCGGUAGGGGUAGAGGGAAUUCCCGGUGUAGCGGUGAAAUGCGUAGAGAUCGGGAAGAACAUCGGUGGCGAAAGCGCUCUACUGGGCCGCAACUGACACUCAGGGACGAAAGCUAGGGGAGCGAAUGGGAUUAGAUACCCCAGUAGUCAAGGGGA